AUAUGGGCACGAGAGGAGGGGAAACACAGGACUGACACUCAUAGGGAAUGCGGAAACAAUAUGCAUUUCAUCCAUCAUACUCACAAAGGCAAUUACAUUCAGUUCAGCUGGAUUAAUUGAUAUAAUUUGUUUAGUUCAGAAGCCCUAGGCAGUGAAUUUUCUGGUUCAGGCAUCAAGUCCUUCCGUGAUUAUACCACGAAAACCCAGUUUAAACAGUAUCUACCUGCGUUUCAUAAAGAUGCUCACCUCAACCAGCACUACUAAUAAAACAUUCAGCAUUGCUUUAGGCUCACAGGACACAUAUGAUGCAGCAUCCAUUCAAGGCAAGGCAAUGCUACAUUUCACCAAAUCUGUUCUCAUGAAGAAACUCAUCUACAUCUUGGAUUAUGAUUGCUUCCAGGUCAAAAUCAAGUCCUGCACCCUCAAGUCUCGAUGAUAUUCUGCUUUCUAGAUAUAGCUUGGGUCCCUCAUUUCAUGUAGAUUUAAAACCAGAUUUUCCUUUCACAAGCAUGACCAUAUAAAGGAAAACUACAACUUCUGUGCCAUCCAUUGAAGGCCACACUGCUAUUAUUGGUCCCUAAUGACAGAGCACCAGGAGGGGGCAGCAGAGCAGUAUAAUUGGUCUAUUACAGCACCAGAAUAUAUGAACUCCUUCUCUCCAGCACCUUGUUUCAUCAGCCUGUGGUUCUAGCUGGUAAUUUGAUCAUGCAGCAGUACGGAUCAUCGAUCAUUCAUUAAUGAGCCGACUUAAAAGCCGACGACGAAUCGAAGCGCAGUGCUAAACCCGUCUGCAGCAGACGCCACUUUCACUUUGCAUGUAGGUUGUUGUAACAUUUAAAUAUUUUAGAUUGUGAAUCCAACUUGCAUAUAAUGAAAAUGAAAUGCAGGAAGUACAAACAACACACACUUUAACAAAUGUAUGUUUAUGCAAUUAUAUGUACUAUUUUAUAUCAUAAUCACUUGCGCUGAAUAAUGCAUAAAGCUGCGGUAGGAAAUGAGAAUAACAAAGUGUUUUUAAUUAAGUGCAACAUAUUGUUCAUUCCAGGAUAAGACUCUCACUUAUCAUGCAAAGAGUUCUGGCUUCACAUCUUAUGUGAGCUUAAUUACAUUACUUAACUGAAGUUUUUCCAUUAGAGGUUCAAACCAGCACAUUGAGGAGUUUGGUGUGACGUGCAUAAACAAUAUAACUCAUCUAUGAGAGACGUUCAGGGGUCUCUGGAGACUGCAUUGAAUAGCCGCACUUGUAUCGAUCAGCUUGUGCUGGGAUCAGAACUGUUUGGUUGCUCUGUAAAAGGGCGUUUACAUUAGCGAUCUUCACAAUUCAGUAUAAAAUCAUGAAUAUUUUGAAUGUAAUGUUUACAUGAACUCAACAUAAAGUGAUUGGUUUGAUCUGCAUGAUUACAUGUUCCAAGAAUGGAAAAAAUUUGCUG